rnacentral:tRNA from 1 species
GUGUCGUGAGGGCGAGGUUUGCCGCGGCCCUCGUGCCGCCGAGGACAGGCGCCCAUCCGGUCGAUCCGGGUGCGUCUCCCGGUCGGUGCA